GCUUUUUUCCCAAUUAUAUAUUCACAGUUGAAUAUUACUUACUUAUUGCUAAAAUGCAACAGAAUUGAACAUCAAUUCUGUUUCCACUUUUUGUUGUUUUAGACAGAAAGACUUAUGUUAUAGGAGUGUCCACUAUCACAAAGUGACAUGACCUAAGUUAUCCUUAAUGAUCUAUCAUUUGAGAACUCAAUUGUGUCCUUCACCUUUGUUUAAAGUAAAGAAAUAGAGAUCCUUUAGACUUAUAAAAGUAUUUCUUAGAAUCAUUUGCUUUCCUUGUUUCUAGGAAACACAACAAAGUAGUUUUUUCAAGAUGUAACAGAUGAUUAUUUAUGACUGUUCAUCUGUAACUCAGAGGCACUUUUUUAAAAACCAAAAUACUUGCUGGAUGCAAGGGUGCACACCCAUAAUCCCAGAGGCUCCAGAGGCUGAAGUAGGAGGAUCAAAAUGUCAAAGCCAGCCUCAGCAAUUUAACAAGACCCCAAGCAAAUUAGCAAGACCCUGUCUCAAAAUAAAAAAUAAAAAAGGGCUUGUCACUGAGUUCAGCUGGCACAGUCAGCCUUUAUUUUCAAAUAGAUUAACUAACCCAUGUAUACUUUCUCUUAGAAAAAGCCUAAUUUUUAAGUUAUUAAAAUACACCUUCGUAUCACAGCUAGUUCCCUCUGAAUUCUGAUUCUCAGAAGAAGCCCAGAGCCUUUGCACAAGUUUGUCACCUGCCUGAAACAGGUGCUGCCACCUGCAGGUUCCUGGUCCAAGUUGUCUGCCUUUCACCUUUGGGAAUAAUGUAUAUUUGACAGUAGAAAAUAGAGGGACCAAAGUGGAUGAAUGAAAAUUUUCUUUCUGCCCCACCUUGCACACUUUUAAAUUCAAAACGGCUCAACCUGGUCCCCAAUUCCCCAUUUGUAUGACCAUACUUUUGUUCUGAAUAGAUAGGGAAAGACAGACACUGGACGGGCUACAGAAAAUUUUCCAUCACCAGUAUUUUUACUUUUUUGCUCUGUCCAACAUGUCUGAAGCUUGGCACCAUGCAGGAUUUGGGGUAGAUGCAAAGCAUGCCUUCCUUUGUAGGUAGGAAAAUCAUGAUUGUAAGAGGGAGAAGGAAAGAGCAGUCUGCAGGAUGCUUCUGGCCUGUCAGUCUUACCAAGUCCAGUGUGUGGGAAUUAAUACCCUCAAAACUUUAUAUUCCUGGAAAUGCCUUGGGAACCCUCUUUGUUUUUGAGGGAUUCUCAGAAUCUUCUAGAUUGUAUUCAUCUUUUAAUUUGAAUUAAUUCAUAUUUGAAUUAAUGUGACCUACUAGAUGUUAACUGGCCUUUGUUGAAUCAAUAUCAAGGCAAAUUAUAUUGCCAAAUCCAGGGACAGGUGCUUUGCUUACUGAGCUAAAUUGCAGAAGUUAAGAAUGUACUUUCUAUUUGACCUUGGACAAAGAAAGUUUAAUUCCUUAUUUUUCAUGUUAUAUUCAUGAAAAUAAAUCACGGAAGUGCUACUAAUUUCAAGAGUAAUUUGUGGUUUUGGUACCACCAGUUGCCCGAUUAUGAUUUAUAGUAGCCACCAAAGGGUCGUCUCGUCAUGUGCCAAUUGCAGUAAAGGUAAUUGAAGAAAUCUGAGGCACUUCUCAUUUUAAUAAUGCAGUUUAUGAGGACUAUGAGUGAGUCAAGUCAAGUUUACUAACAAGGAUCAACACCUGCUUUGAGCUCUGUGGAUUAAGGAGGGGUCCAAAUCCCUCCCACCAUUUGUGCUUAUAAAUAAAGUUUUAUUGGAAAUUAGCAAUACCUAUUUGUUUUACAUCUUGUCUAUGAUUGCUUUUGUGCUAUGAGUAGUUGCAGCAGAGACCACAAGGGCUCCACUGUGCAGCCCUUUGCAGCAAAAGUUGGACACCAAACUUUUGUUUUAAAAGAGAGACCCACAGGGUUUUGUUUUGUUUUGUUUUAGAAAACUUUUUUGACACUUCAAUAAUAUUUGAACGCGUGAGAUUAAGCUUACAAGAAGGGAUCAGAACAAUAAAUUUCCCUUAAAAGCAGUAAUAGAAUUGACAUCCCCUGCAGAAGAAGGCUGGGUUAGCCAUCUGUCAGGGCAGAAAGGGGAUAGCAGAGGUGCCUGCCUAAAACAGAGCCAGACGACAAAAACAGGAGACACAGGCUCCCCCAGGCCAGGAAACAGCACGGGGGUGCUCAGGAUGGUCUUCUGAGCAGUAGAGGCUCAGGACCAGAGUCGCCUGGACCUGGACUUCAGAUAGUGGCAGUACUGACCCCUGCCUUUCUGAACACAAUUCUGCAGCUCACCCCUG
rnacentral:lncRNA from 1 species